rnacentral:rRNA from 1 species
UUCCCUUCGGGGAGCAAGUAGAGUGGCGCACGGGUGAGUAACACGUAGGUAAUCUACCUUUGGAUGGGGAAUAACAACCGGAAACGGUUGCUAAUACCGCAUAAUGCAGCGGCACCUAAUGGUGACAGUUGUUAAAGCGGGGGAUCGCAAGACCUCGCGUCUAAAGAGGAGCCUGCGGCAGAUUAGCUAGUUGGUAAGGUAACGGCUUACCAAGGCGAUGAUCUGUAGCCGGCCUGAGAGGGCGGUCGGCCACACUGACACUGACAUACGGGUCAGACUCCUACGGGAGGCAGCAGUCGGGAAUUUUGGGCAAUGGGCGAAAGCCUGACCCAGCAACGCCGCGUGAAGGAUGAAAUCCCUCGGGAUGUAAACUUCGCAAGAACGGGAAGAAUAAGUAAGAGUUAAUAUCUCUUACGAUGACGGUACUGUUUGUAAGCUCCGGCUAACUCCGUGCCAGCAGCCGCGGUAAUACGGGGGGAGCAAGCGUUGUUCGGAUUUACUGGGCGUAAAGGGCGCGUAGGCGGCCUCUGCAAGUCGACUGUGAAAUCUCCGGGCUUAACCCGGAAAGGUCAGCCGAUACUGCAGGGCUAGAGUGCAGAAGGGGCAACUGGAAUUCUCGGUGUAGCGGUGAAAUGCGUAGAUAUCGAGAGGAACACCUGCGGCGAAGGCGGGUUGCUGGGCUGACACUGACGCUGAGGCGCGAAAGCUAGGGGAGCGAACGGGAUUAGAUACCCCGGUAGUCCUAGCCUUAAACGAUGAGUGCUUGGUGUCUGGGGUUUUAUAGUCCCCGGGUGCCGUCGCUAACGCUUUAAGCAUUCCGCCUGGGGAGUACGGUCGCAAGACUG